GAUGGCGACCGGCGCACGGGUGAGUAACACGUAUCCAACCUGCCGACAACACUGGGAUAGCCUUUCGAAAGAAAGAUUAAUACCGGAUGGCAUAGUUUUCCCGCAUGGGAUGAUUAUUAAAGAAUUUCGGUUGUCGAUGGGGAUGCGUUCCAUUAGGCAGUUGGCGGGGUAACGGCCCACCAAACCUACGAUGGAUAGGGGUUCUGAGAGGAAGGUCCCCCACAUUGGAACUGAGACACGGUCCAAACUCCUACGGGAGGCAGCAGUGAGGAAUAUUGGUCAAUGGACGAGAGUCUGAACCAGCCAAGUAGCGUGAAGGAUGACUGCCCUAUGGGUUGUAAACUUCUUUUAUACGGGAAUAAAGUGAGCCACGUGUGGCUUUUUGUAUGUACCGUAUGAGUAAGGAUCGGCUAACUCCGUGCCAGCAGCCGCGGUAAUACGGAGGAUCCGAGCGUUAUCCGGAUUUAUUGGGUUUAAAGGGAGCGUAGGCGGGUUGUUAAGUCAGUUGUGAAAGUUUGCGGCUCAACCGUAAAAUUGCAGUUGAUACUGGCGACCUUGAGUGCAACAGAGGUAGGCGGAAUUCGUGGUGUAGCGGUGAAAUGCUUAGAUAUCACGAAGACUCCGAUUGCGAAGGCAGCUUACUGGAUUGUAACUGACGCUGAUGCUCGAAAGUGUG
rnacentral:rRNA from 1 species